GACGAACGCUGGCGGCGUGCCUAAUACAUGCAAGUAGAACGCACAGUUUAUACCGUAGCUUGCUCCACCAUAGACUGUGAGUUGCGAACGGGUGAGUAACGCGUAGGUAACCUGCCUGGUAGCGGGGGAUAACUAUUGGAAACGAUAGCUAAUACCGCAUAAUAUUAAUUAUUGCAUGAUAAUUAAUUGAAAGGUGCAAUUGCACCACUACCAGAUGGACCUGCGUUGUAUUAGCUAGUAGGUGAGGUAACGGCUCACCUAGGCGACGAUACAUAGCCGACCUGAGAGGGUGAUCGGCCACACUGGGACUGAGACACGGCCCAGACUCCUACGGGAGGCAGCAGUAGGGAAUCUUCGGCAAUGGAAGAAAGUCUGACCGAGCAACGCCGCGUGAGUGAAGAAGGUUUUCGGAUCGUAAAGCUCUGUUGUAAGAGAAGAACGGGUGUGAGAGUGGAAAGUUCACACUGUGACGGUAUCUUACCAGAAAGGGACGGCUAACUACGUG
rnacentral:rRNA from 1 species